CCUACGGGUGGCAGCAGUGGGGAAUAUUGGGCAAUGGAGGAAACUCUGACCCAGCAACGCCGCGUGAAUGAUGAAGGUCUUCGGAUUGUAAAGUUCUUUUCUAAGGGAAGAAGAAAGUGACGGUACCUUAGGAAUAAGACUCGGCUAACUAAGUGUCACAAGCUGCCGUAAUACGUAGGAGGCGAGCGUUAUCCGGAAUGACUGGUCGUAAAGGGUGCGUAGGUGGUUUGGCAAGUUAGUAACGUAACUCCAAGGCUCAACCUUGGAACUACUACUAAAACUGUUGGACUUGAGUGCAGGAGGGGCAACCGGAAGUCCUAGUGUAGCGGUGGAAUGCGUAGAUAUUAGGAGGAACACCAGUGGCGAAGGCGGGUUGCUAGACUGUAACUGACACUGCGUCACGAAAGCGUGGGGAGCAAACAGGAUUAGAUACCCUUGUAGUC
rnacentral:rRNA from 1 species